AUGCUCACUUUGGCAGCACAGACACUAAAACUGGAACAAUACAGAGAAGCUGAGCAUGGCCCCUGCAUGAGGAUGACACGCAAAUGCAUAAAGUGUUCCAUAUUUUU
ensembl:snRNA U6 U6 spliceosomal RNA